GAUCCUGGCUCAGGAUGAACGCUGGCGGCGUGCCUAACACAUGCAAGUCGAGGGGCAGCAUGGUCUUAGCUUGCUAAGGCCGAUGGCGACCGGCGCACGGGUGAGUAACGCGUAUCCAACCUGCCUUACACUCUUGGACAGCUUUCUGAAAGGGAGAUUAAUACAAGAUGUUAUCAUGAGUAAGCAUUUUCGCAUGAUUAAAGGUUUACCGGUGUAAGAUGGGGAUGCGUUCCA
rnacentral:rRNA from 1 species